GAACUAUUUAUAGGACAAAAUGGGCAAGGGCAAAUCCGACUUAUCUCUUUGCCGCAUCCGAGAAAUCCGAGGGUACUCAGGUGGAUAUGGUAACUGUUCGCACGGUAAUCUAGGGAUUGUGCAGGUGAUUUGACAGGAAGCGGUCAUUAUCUGAAGAUAUUUUACUGUGCGAGAUCUCCUGGUCGGUCCAUCGACGAUAUUCUAUAACGGUCAUAUUGCCGAUG
rnacentral:lncRNA from 1 species